UUUUCGACCAAAAAAAAUUAAAAGUUUGUUAAUUGUUUUUUUAAUUCGAAAAAGAAAAAUGGCUAACUGUGGCUGUGGCUCUGCCUGCAAUUGCAAUCCCAACAACUGCUCAUGCAACCAUAAUGUUGCUCCCAUGAAAGAGAACUUUGAAGGUGGCUGCGGCUGCAACAAAUGCUCAUGUGGAGACAAUUGCAAGUGCAAUCCAUGCAACUGCUAAAGCUAAGAGCUUUCAAUAUAGAAAGCAUAUUUAAUUUACAUAUUUGAUGUUGGGUAUGAUUUGAAAUAUGUAUCAAUGGUUGUGUGUGUGUAUGUUGUUUGUCUGUAAGGUGUUUGACAAAAUGCCGCUUACAAAUACUUGAGAAAUAAAA
rnacentral:sRNA from 1 species